rnacentral:rRNA from 1 species
GACGAACGCUGGCGGCGUGCCUAAUACAUGCAAGUCGAGCGGACUUUCAAGAAGCUUGCUUUUUGAAAGUUAGCGGCGGACGGGUGAGUAACACGUGGGCAACCUGCCUGCAAGACGGGGAUAACUCCGGGAAACCGGGGCUAAUACCGGAUAAUAUCUUCCUUCGCAUGAAGGAAGGUUGAAAGGCGGCGCAAGCUGCCGCUUGCAGAUGGGCCCGCGGCGCAUUAGCUAGUUGGUGAGGUAACGGCUCACCAAGGCGACGAGGCGUAGCCGACCGGAGAGGGUGAUCGGCCACACUGGGACUGAGACACGGCCCAGACUCCUACGGGAGGCAGCAGUAGGGAAUCUUCCGCAAUGGACGAAAGUCUGACGGAGCAACGCCGCGUGAGCGAAGAAGGUCUUCGGAUCGUAAAGCUCUGUUGUCAGGGAAGAACAAGUACCGUUCGAACAGGGCGGUACCUUGACGGUACCUGACCAGAAAGCCACGGCUAACUACGUG